CCCUUGGUGCCUGUCUGACAUGCAAUUUUUUGUUCUUAUCGGUCAAGCUGAUGGAGACAGGCAUAAAUGAGCUCGCUCCAUCAAGCAUUCCGGACUCAUUUGGUUCUUGGGAAAAAUUUAUUUUUUAAAAAAUUAUUUUUUGGGAAGAACUUCCUAAGAAGUUACUUCUUGAGAAUAGAAUUUUAGUAUAUUUUGUUGACCA
rnacentral:lncRNA from 1 species